CAGCAGCCGCGGGAAAACGUAGGUGGCAAGCGUUGUCCGGAAUUAUUGGGCGUAAAGGGCUCGCAGGCGGUUUCUUAAGUCUGAUGUGAAAGCCCCCGGCUCAACCGGGGAGGGUCGUUGGAAACUGGGAAACUUGAGUGCAGAAGAGGAGAGUGGAAUUCCACGUGUAGCGGUGAAAUGCGUAGAGAUGUGGAGGAACACCAGUGGCGAAGGCGACUCUCUGGCCUGUAACUGACGCUGAGGAGCGAAAGCGUGGGGAGCGAACAGGAUUAGAUACCCCAGUAGUCCCUGUCUCUUAUAC
rnacentral:rRNA from 1 species